UUGCAAUUGCGUUAUUUACUUUUUUGUGAUGGCUUUUGACAGAAACCAAAGUGUUAUUUAUACGUUAGUGCAAAAUUACGUCAAAUCAAAAGAGUGUGUUGCGCACUUGAAGUGCUACGUAGAAAAGGAUAGUGAUGUCAUGAAAGCUGCAAUCGAACACGAUUGGGGUAGGUUAAAAGUUAAUGCCACAUAUGGUAUUAUUUCAUCCCCUAACAACACACAGAGGAUAAACGCCCUGUUUGGCGAAAUUGAAACCUAUCUUACCAAUAAUAUAGAAGCUAUUUUCCCAGAACAAGUAAAUCUUUCUCGAGCAGGAAUUCGAAAGCUCGUUCAUUAUGUGCUGAUACCAGAAGCACUGAGGUAUGGUGUAGCAAUACAAACCAUUUCCUAUAACCUUAAUGCAUAUUCUAUUCAAGACAUUGUAUGGUAUGGUUACGAGCACUUCAUGUGCUGAUUGAGAAAUAUGAAUCUGGAAGCAAAGUGCAACCUCAUAAGUCUGACUCAAAGUCAACAGCAAUACUUGAUUCGAGUAACCAAUGUAUACAUGGAAAAAAGAUAAUGGUAACGUAGUUAUUCUUAUGGAAAUCGCUGCCUUGCUUGUUCGUGUCUAUAUGAUGGUUUUGAUUGCGGAAUACGAGUGAAAAGUUAUGGAUGCAAGUUGUUUCCUUCUGGCAAAGCUAGAAUGGUUUUACUUUUACUUCUAUUAAUCCGAAUACCAUUCUGGCCGACAUUAUGCCUUGCGCUUGUUCGUAUGUGUUGCAAGAAACUGAAUAAAGGUAUGAAAUUGAAAUAAAA